rnacentral:rRNA from 1 species
GACGAACGCUGGCGGCGUGCUUAACACAUGCAAGUCGAACGGAAAGGCCCUUCGGGGUACUCGAGUGGCGAACGGGUGAGUAACACGUGGGUGAUCUGCCCUGCACUUUGGGAUAAGCCUGGGAAACUGGGUCUAAUACCGAAUAGGACCACGCGCUUCAUGGUGUGUGGUGGAAAGCUUUUGCGGUGUGGGAUGGGCCCGCGGCCUAUCAGCUUGUUGGUGGGGUAAUGGCCUACCAAGGCGACGACGGGUAGCCGGCCUGAGAGGGUGACCGGCCACACUGGGACUGAGAUACGGCCCAGACUCCUACGGGAGGCAGAAGUGGGGAAUAUUGCACAAUGGGCGCAAGCCUGAUGCAGCGACGCCGCGUGAGGGAUGACGGCCUUCGGGUUGUAAACCUCUUUCAAUAGGGACGAAGCGCAAGUGACGGUACCUAUAGAAGAAGCACCGGCCAACUACGUG